GAAAUGCGAUAAGUAAUGUGAUUUGCAGAAUUCAGUGAAUCAUCGAAUCUUUGAACGCACAUUGCGCCCGCCAGCACUCUGGCGGGCAUGCCUGUUCGAGCGUCAUUUCAACCCUCAGAACCCCUUGCGGGAUCUGGCGUUGGGGAUUGGCAUCCAGCCAGCCCCGAAAUCUAGUGGCGGUCCCUCCGCGACCUCCCCUGUGCAGUAGCGAUACCUCGCAGCGGGACAGCGGUCUGACCACGCCGUAAAACCCCCAACUUCUCAAGGUUGACCUCGAAUCAGGUAGGAAUACCCGCUGAACAUAAGC
rnacentral:misc_RNA from 1 species